UAGGGAAUCUUCCACAAUGGGCGCAAGCCUGAUGGAGCAACGCCGCGUGUGUGAUGAAGGGUUUCGGCUCGUAAAACACUGUUGUAAGAGAAGAAUGACAUUGAGAGUAACUGUUCAAUGUGUGACGGUAUCUUACCAGAAAGGAACGGCUAACUACGUGCCAG
rnacentral:rRNA from 1 species